AUUGAACGCUGGCGGCAUGCCUUACACAUGCAAGUCGAACGGCAGCGCGGGGCAACCUGGCGGCGAGUGGCGAACGGGUGAGUAAUAUAUCGGAACAUGCCCAGAAGUGGGGGAUAACGUAGCGAAAGUUACGCUAAUACCGCAUACGAUCUACGGAUGAAAGUGGGGGACCGCAAGGCCUCAUGCUUUUGGAGUGGCCGAUAUCUGAUUAGCUAGUUGGUGGGGUAAAGGCCUACCAAGGCGACGAUCAGUAGCUGGUCUGAGAGGACGACCAGCCACACUGGAACUGAGACACGGUCCAGACUCCUACGGGAGGCAGCAGUGGGGAAUUUUGGACAAUGGGGGGCAACCCUGAUCCAGCAAUGCCGCGUGUGUGAAGAA
rnacentral:rRNA from 1 species